UAUGUGAUCGUCUCUCGCAUAUCAAUAAGCGGAGGAAAAGAAACUAACAAGGAUUCCCUUAGUAACGGCGAGGGUGGAAGCGGGAAGAGCUCAAAUUUGAAAUCUUCAAGGUUUUACCUUGACGAAUUGUAGUUUAAAGAAGUGUUUUCUGUUGAAGUUUUGGUAAAAGUUCUUUGGAAUAGGACAUCAUAGAGGGUGAGAAUCCCGUAUUUGACCAUUAUUUUCAGCUGUGUGAUACACUUUCAAAGAGUCGGAUUGUUUGGGAAUGCAGUCCAAAAUGGGUGGUGAAUUUCAUCUAAAGCUAAAUAUUGGCGAGAGACCGAUAGCGAACAAGUACCGUGAGGGAAAGAUGAAAAGAACUUUGAAAAGAGAGUUAAACAGUACGUGAAAUUGUCAAAAGGGAAGCGUUUGACACCAGUGUUGUUUUCUCGAAAAUCAAUUAAAAAGAGUUUAGAUUUUGUUGUGUAUUGACCUUAACAGCUUGCAUUUCAAUUUUCUUGCUUUUUUUAAUGCACUUUUCGUUUAACAAGUCAACAUCAGUUUCUUUUGUUGUAAAAAGGUCAUUGGAAGGUGGCUUUCUUUUCGGAGAAAGUGUUUAUAGCCUUUGACUCCUGCAAUCGGAGAGACUGAGGUCUGCAGCGUAGAUCCUUCGGGGUUAGAUACAUUUGUGCUAAGUUAUAGCUUUUUAUAGACAACUUGUUGACUAUGAUUAGUCUUGUAGCUUACUCGCUUAUGCUAUUUUACCUACGCUUAGGAUGUUGAAGAUGUAGCACAUCAU
rnacentral:rRNA from 1 species